UCUAACGAAUUUGAAUGAGAAGUCUCAGCGCUUUCGGCGCCAUUUUCGAGUGAUGCCUGAUCUCAUCAAUCUAGCGGGAGGGACUCCAGAACCUGUCUGAGGGUGCAGCGCCGCUAAGACUCCGCCGAAAAAUCACCCAAAAAUCUUCAAAAAAUAACUUAGAGCCAAAGGCAGUCGGCGGAUCCUUGCCAGGCCGGGCACACCGGUGGUUGAAACCUGGCUCAAGGAAAACCGGUCUGCGAGCUGCGCUGCCGUUUCCUGCGGACGAGGCUUUACCCCACGACUUAACGGCACCACCAGAUUAACCCUUUGCUGCUGGGAUGUUUUGUGUGGGGCGCCGAUCUGGCUGCGGAUAUUCUGGAAGUGCCUUUGGCAGCCGCUUCUCAGCUGCACAGAGAGGAAUAACGCUGCUUCCGAGGCUGACUUUUGAGGACAGGCUGUCUAUGAGGUUUUCCUUCGGGAAUUUUAUCAGAACCGUGGAUUUUGUAUAUUUUUAUGAAGACCAGGGAACCCACCCUCAUUUAGAAUCUUUCCCGGAGAGUAAGUGUGAAAUGUGAUGUUUUUCAAAUCGUGUGUAACGGAGCUCCCAAAACACCAGACUUCUUACCCCCUGAUUGGCUGGAAGGAAGCGAGCAUAGGGGGUUUGAAUGUUCAACGUGAGAUGUUGAAGUUUUCGGUAAGUGGAGAAGUAUCUUUUAGUCAGAGAACCACGGAGAUAGAUACAAAAUGUGUUUUAAAAAAAAAAGAAAGAAAGAAAAGAAAUGAAAAGAAAAACAACGAAUUUUUUUGAAGUUGGUAUUUAAUGGGGUUGUUUCUCCCAUAAAGGAUUUUCGGAUGGUUCUGAAAUGUAUAUUAAAAAAUAGAACU